GAUCAAGUGACUUAAGGGCAUCUGGUGGAUGCCUUGGCGGUAAGAGGCGAAGAAGGACGUGGUACGCUGCGAAAAGCUACGGGAAGGUGCGUACAGCCGUUGAUCCGUAGAUAUCCGAAUGGGGAAACCCACCUUCGACUCCUUGAAAUUCGCACCUGGUGCAAACCGGGUACGGAUUUCAGGGUGUCAUGAGAAGGUAUCUAGCCCUGAAUACAUAGGGGUUUAGAAGCAAACCCAGGGAACUGAAACAUCUAAGUACCUGGAGGAAAGGACAUCAACCGAGACUCCGCGAGUAGUGGCGAGCGAAAGCGGACUAGGCCAGUAUUUCAGUUAGGACAAGUGGAACCGGACAGGAAAGCCGGGCCUCAGAGGGUGAUAGCCCCGUACACGUAAUGCCAAGCUGAAAUCUCGAGUAGGGCGGGACACGUGAAAUCCUGUUCGAACAUGGGGGGACCACCCUCCAAGCCUAAGUACUCCUUACCGACCGAUAGCGCACCAGUACCGUGAGGGAAAGGUGAAAAGCACCCCAACGAGGGGAGUGAAAUAGUACCUGAAACCGGAUGCCUACAAACAGAGGAAGCCCGCAAGGGUGACCUCGUACCUUUUGUAUUAUGGGUCUGCGACUUAGUCUGACGAGCAAGCUUAAGCCGAUAGGCGUAGGCGUAGCGAAAGCGAGUCUGAACAGGGCGUUCAGUUCGUCGGAUUAGACCCGAAACCUGUCGAUCUUGCCAUGGUCAGGUUGAAAGCAGGGUAACACCUGCUGGAGGACCGAACCGGUGUCUGUUGAAAAAGCCUCGGAUGAACUGUGGCAAGGGGUGAAAGGCCAAUCAAGGCAGGAAAUAGCUGGUUCUCCGCGAAAUCUAUUUAGGUAGAGCCUCGAGUGAAUACCCCAGGGGGUAGAGCACUGGAUGGGCUAGGGGCCCCCACAGGGUUACCAAACCUAACCAAACUCCGAAUACCUGGGAGUACUACUCGGGAGACACACGGCGGGUGCUAACGUCCGUCGUGAAGAGGGAAACAACCCUGACCGACAGCUAAGGUCCCUAAAUAACGGCUAAGUGUGGAAGGAUGUGAGGAUCCCAAAACAGCCAGGAGGUUGGCUUAGAAGCAGCCAUCCUUUAAAGAAAGCGUAACAGCUCACUGGUCUAGAUAAGGGUUCCUGCGCCGAAAAUGUAUCGGGGCUAAAGCCGUUUACCGAAGCUUCGGAUGUGCAGCAAUGCACGUGGUAGCGGAGCGUUCCGUAAGCCUGCGAAGGGCGACCCGUGAGGGCGCCUGGAGGUAUCGGAAGUGCGAAUGCAGACAUGAGUAACGACAGGAGUGUCAGAAACACUCCCGCCGAAAGUCCAAGGGUUCCUGCGUAAAGCUAAACUGCGCAGGGUUAGCCGGCCCCUAAGGCGAGGGCGAAAGCCGUAGUCGAUGGGAACCACGUUAAUAUUCGUGGGCCAGUGGAGUGAGUGACGGGUCGCUGCAAGUUGUCUGGGUCUUAUCGGAUUGAUCCCGGGCAGCGAAGGUGGCCCCAGGAAAUAGCUCCUCCACUAUAGACCGUACCCGAAACCGACACAGGUGGACUGGUAGAGAAUACCAAGGCGCUUGAGCGAAGUGUGCUGAAGGAACUCGGCAAAUUGCACGCGUAACUUCGGAAGAAGCGUGACCGUCAUUCUGGGCAACCAGAGUGGCGGGUGGCACAGACCAGGGGGUGGCGACUGUUUACCUAAAACACAGGGCUAUGCUAAGUCGCAACGACGACGUAUAUGGCCUGACGCCUGCCCGGUGCUGGAAGGUUAAGAGGAGAAGUGCAAGCUUUGAAUCGAAGCCCCAGUAAACGGCGGCCGUAACUAUAACGGUCCUAAGGUAGCGAAAUUCCUUGUCGGGUAAGUUCCGACCUGCACGAAUGGCGUAACGACUUCCCCACUGUCUCCAGCACACACUCAGUGAAAUUGAAUUCCCCGUGAAGAUGCGGGGUUCCUGCGGUUAGACGGAAAGACCCCGUGCACCUUUACUGUAGCUUUACACUGGCAAUCGUGUGUGCAUGUGUAGGAUAGGUGGUAGGCUUUGAAGCCAGGGCGCCAGCCUUGGUGGAGCCGCACCUGUGAAAUACCACCCUUAUGAUCUAUGGUUGUCUAACCGCGGACCGUUAUCCGGGUCCGGGACAUUGUAUGGUGGGCAGUUUGACUGGGGCGGUCGCCUCCUAAAUGGUAACGGAGGCGUGCGAAGGUGGGCUCAGGUUGGUCGGAAAUCAACCGUCGAGUGCAAUGGCAUAAGCCCGCCUGACUGCGAGACUGACAAGUCGAGCAGAGUCGAAAGACGGUCAUAGUGAUCCGGUGGUUCUGUGUGGAAGGGCCAUCGCUCAACGGAUAAAAGGUACGCCGGGGAUAACAGGCUGAUGAUUCCCAAGAGUCCAUAUCGACGGAAUCGUUUGGCACCUCGAUGUCGGCUCAUCUCAUCCUGGGGCUGGAGCAGGUCCCAAGGGUAUGGCUGUUCGCCAUUUAAAGAGGUACGUGAGCUGGGUUCAGAACGUCGCGAGACAGUUCGGUCCCUAUCUGCCGUAGGCGUAGGAGAAUUGAGAGGAUCUGACUCUAGUACGAGAGGACCGAGUUGGACGCACCUCUGGUGGACCUGUUGUCGCGCCAGCGGCACAGCAGGGUAGCUAUGUGCGGACGGGAUAACCGCUGAAGGCAUCUAAGCGGGAAACCCACCUCGAGACGAGUUCUCCCUUGAGAGCCGUUGUAGACCACAACGUUGAUAGGCCGGGUGUGGAAGUACAGCAAUGUAUGGAGCUUACCGGUACUAAUAGCUCAAUCGAACUUCGAUCGC
rnacentral:rRNA from 1 species